rnacentral:lncRNA from 1 species
CAUUUUCUUGGAUCAUCACUGAUUUCCUGAGGGACAAUGUUGAGAAGCAAAAUGUGGUGAUGAAGUUCUGUAAGACUGAGGACCAGCUGACUGAUAUCUUUACAAAGUCAUUGAGUAAAGAAUGUUUCAUUAAAAGCAAGAUGAGGCUGGGGAUGCACAAGAUUACUUGAUUCCGUGACAAGUUUGCACAAAAAUCUUCUAUUUUGAUUAUGUUACGGAGGGCAGGUAUCUAUACUUGUUUUAAUGCUUGUCACUUAAGAAUUCACUUCUGGUACCUUAAUGUAGGUAUACACUCAUGGUGUGUCUAGCUGAAG